UUUCUUCAACUUAUAUCCAUUGAGAAUGUAUAAUAAUGAUAUGCAUAUAGGAGUAGGAAGGUACUUUAUUAGCUAUAAAUGUAGGAAAUAACUUCAAUAAGCGUUGUAGACAAAACAAAAACAGCUGCAGAUAUGACACAGGAUAAAAGAGAGAAGAUUGGCAUCAAAACUAAUACUAGCCAAGCCAAAACAAAAACCUGUGAUCAAAGGACCAAAAAAAAACUUUCUACCACUCUUUUGAACCUUUUGGACACUGAGGAUGAACUUUCUAGUAUCCGGUGGGAUUCAGUACCUAUGGAUGUAAAAGAGUGGUUAACAGACACUUUUGCAAAGAAAAAAGAGGCAUACAGACUGCAACCUGAUGAAAUAACAAGCAUUCGGAGUAUUUCAUACGCUUUAGAGAAUGGCGUUGUGGUAGAAAGGCAAGCAUAGAUUGCAUAGCAAAUUAUGAGUUUUUCAGAAUAUGACCUAAAUGAUGUAGUUGAUAAUUAGAAAAAUGAAUUCCAGAAUCAGAGCUGGAAUUGACCAGAGUUGUUGUUAUGGGAAAAGGAGGAGGAAGGAGUAUUAUGUAUGUUCACAGUCUAAUAAAUAAAUCUACAGUAACAAAAAAAAUAAAAAAGAUCAUCUACUACA